rnacentral:lncRNA from 1 species
CCAGCCUGGCUGAGGGGGCGGGCUGGCCGGUAGCACGCCCAGCUCGGCUUCCUUGAGCCCCUGCUGGAGGCUGAGUGAAGCCCCUCCUACUUUGGCAGCCCCUCUCCAAUACGGAGCCCUGCAUAAAACUGCGUUUUUUUCUGUGUUUCUGUUCUCUUUUCUCUACCGACCAUGGAGCACAGAAGUCAUGGGUGGGGGGCGACUUGGCAUUCGUAGCAGCGUCCAGAUCCUAGGGCUUUAAUAUUUAAUCGAGGAACCCUUGAAGGGUGGAGGUGCUUGGGGAGCCUGCCCCUAGUUCUCCUGCUUAGGCCCCAUCCUCCGGGUCCGAAUCCAGGGCUGGCGCGUGGCCACUGCGACCUCCGGGAAGCGGGGGCUUUUGGCGUCACACCCGGCACCGCAGUGCAUCCGUUCUGUGAGCCUGGCCGGCGUGCCCGGGGUGAAGAGGGAAAGCCGACUACGUGUACGAGCCCAGGCGGUACGCGACCUCUGUGGCCUGCCUCCCCGCGUCCCGGGAAGAACGGCCCCCUUUCCCCACCCCCUCGCGGUUCCCGGCAGCCCUGGCCGCCCCGCCCCCGCCGCAGCUGCUGCUUCCAUCCCCACCCGGCCCUUUCUGCCUUGUCAUCUCCUGCCCCGCCGAGGCUCGACCCGUGAGUGGGGCCGCCGGGAGCGCACGGAGCGGGAGCCCCCCCCGACCCCCGGCUGCGGUAGGGAAGAGAAACUGAGUUUGGGCAAAAUCCGCACCCCACCAAAACCAGCCGCGCCCGAAGGAGAGUGGGUUCUGUCCUCCCUCCCUUCCUGCACUCGAUUUGGGGGACAGGCUCUGGAAACCUCAAGAGAAGAGGGCAGAGGAUCCACAGUACACAGUGCAGUGAUGUCAGCCUAGUGGUGAGGGUAUAUGUUGUUCACUGGGGUACAGAGGAGAAGGAACCAGUCUGCUUGUGGGACACUCAGGCAUUGGGGUGGAUGAGGGGACAUUUGAAUCUUGGAGGAUGGAUCCACAGCAUGGAGGGAGGAAAGGGCAUUCCAGGCCUAGGCAACAGCAUCUGCAAAGUUUGGGAAGUGCCAGUACUGAGUGGUGGAGGGAAGUGGGGGAAAGCCUGGCUGUCCAGGGGGUGGGAAGUGAACAGAUAGUCUGGAUUCUCUCUGAUAAGCUGUGGGGGUGUGGGGGUGUGGGGGACAGGUAGUUACGGCUGACAUUUUGCUUGGCGAGACCUUGUAGUUCAGGCUGGAGCAAGUCAGAUUCCACUUCUGCCAGUUGAUCUCGCUGAGCCUGUCCCCUUAUCUGUAAAAUGGGGACAAAAGCCCUACCCCAGAGAGUUGUCAAAGUCGCUAUUCUGUGGGAGUGAUGGGAUAGGAGUGAGCGGUACUGAGAGAGACUUAUAGGAGAUGAGAUGACCAUAGAGGGGUUGAGGGAGAUGCUGAUAACUCACUGAGAAGUGGAGGAGUAGCAUUUGUCCCUGAUGGGACAUGAAGGGAGAGAGAGGGGUAAAGGGUAGUCCUGGUCUCUGCUCAUGGCCUGGGGGAAGGGCUGACACUUCAGUAUGGCUAGGAGGGGUGAAAUGACCAGGGAGGCAUAGCAUGACACCAGGUAGUGAGACCUGGGAAGCAGGAUGGGGGCUAGGACCAAAUCCUAGACCUGGAACCAGGUAAGGAAGUAAAGGAGGGACCCCAAAGGGAGGACGAGACCCAGGAGGGUGUUUUGUGGACAAAGCCAAGGCCAGGGGAGAUGGGCUGAGAGAGGGAGUGGUCCAGGGCCUGACCUAAUUGCCCUUAAUGCCAGGGGCCUUGCUGCGUGGGUCAGGCCACCCAAGAGGAGAUGGGCCAUUGUCCUUGGUUGUCAAUAAAUGAACAAAGCAGAUUAAUUUCUGCCUAACACCUGCUGUUUGGGAGAGACAGCCUCUCAAAAUGGGAGGAUCUAUGGAGGAAAACAGUGAAAAUUCAAUAUUUGCUGGUAGCUUUUAUGAGUUGGGCCCUGGGUACUUAAAGAUGAUGGCUGUAAAUCAUUCCCAGGGCAGCAGGGAGACAGUUUGGCCUCAGGUGAUGUCUGGAGAUCUCGGUCAGAGCUAAGACUCAAGAGAAUUCAGGUAUCCCUGCUCAGGUAUUAGAACCAGGAGAGACCAUGAGACCACUUUGGGGUUACAACAUGGUGGUGGCAUUGGUGAGGUGGUGCAGGGGCAGGGCCUGUCCUGGAAGGAUGGACCUCAGGAUAAGGGGUCUGGACUUCUUCCAGCUGGUGAGAGGAGCAGCGGAGGCUCUUAGCACUUCGGGAUCUGGGAGAGGGGGGAUUCGGGGCUCUGCAGGGUCUAGGAUGGAAGUGAAAGGCUAGACUAAGUAAGUGGUGACGUUGACAGAAAUAUUGGAAAGACUGGGAAGAACUUGACUGCAAGCUGGGUGUGGGGUAUCAGGAUCAGUUGUAGGUCUUUCUGCCUGUUAAGUUGGGGAAGCAGGUUGGGAAAGAGAAGUUAGUUUGGAUAAACUGGGUCUGAAUUGAUCGCAGGAUCUGCAGGUGGCAGGGGCUCAGGAGGGAGGACAUGCUUGGGGAGAGCUGUCAGAGUAGGUAAGGGUCCUUGGAAAGCCACAG